rnacentral:rRNA from 1 species
CUUGCUCCUGAUUCGCGGCGGACGGGUGAGUAAUGCCUAGGAAUCUGCCUGGUAGUGGGGGACAACGUUUCGAAAGGAACGCUAAUACCGCAUACGUCCUACGGGAGAAAGUGGGGGAUCUUCGGACCUCACGCUAUCAGAUGAGCCUAGGUCGGAUUACCUAGUUGGUGAGGUAAAGGCUCACCAAGGCGACGAUCCGUAACUGGUCUGAGAGGAUGAUCAGUCACACUGGAACUGAGACACGGUCCAGACUCCUACGGGAGGCAGCAGUGGGGAAUAUUGGACAAUGGGCGAAAGCCUGAUCCAGCCAUGCCGCGUGUGUGAAGAAGGUCUUCGGAUUGUAAAGCACUUUAAGUUGGGAGGAAGGGCAGUAAGUUAAUACCUUGCUGUUUUGACGUUACCAACAGAAUAAGCACCGGCUAACUUCGUGCCAGCAGCCGCGGUAAUACGAAGGGUGCAAGCGUUAAUCGGAAUUACUGGGCGUAAAGCGCGCGUAGGUGGUUCGUUAAGUUGGAUGUGAAAGCCCCGGGCUCAACCUGGGAACUGCAUCCAAAACUGGCGAGCUAGAGUAUGGCAGAGGGUGGUGGAAUUUCCUGUGUAGCGGUGAAAUGCGUAGAUAUAGGAAGGAACACCAGUGGCGAACGCGACCACCUGGGCUAAUACUGACACUGAGGUGCGAAAGCGUGGGGAGCAAACAGGAUUAUAUACCCUGGUAGUCCACGCCGUAAACGAUGUCGACUAGCCGUUGGGAUCCUUGAGAUCUUAGUGGCGCAGCUAACGCAUUACGUCGACCGCCUGGGGAGUACGGCCGCAA